GUGGGCGGGGCUCUGCGCGGCGGGGCCGGGCGGGCGGCAGCGGCGGCGCGCUGUCAGGCCGGUGCCGGUGUGAUGAAGAUUGGCGGCAGGGAACUUUCUGAUGGCUGAGCAUUCCCUGCCCGCCGCCUGCCCGCACCUCCCGUCCCAACCCCAGGAGAUCUGCAGGGAUUCAGCGUCCGUCCCCCAGCCGCGGCCGAAGCGCAGGUGUAGACCCAAACUGUACCAAUAACCCACUCUGAGAUCCUGUGCUGGGGAGCUGUCAUUCCUGAGGAGCAGAAGGGGACGGGACAAGAUACAACUGUGGCUUUCCGCCUGUGGAUAUACUGGCAUCGAGCGCAUCUUCAUAUUCCAGGCACAUCUCGACUGUGACCCAUACUCAGAAGUUUUGCUUUUGUGGCUGUGGAACAUUUCGUGCAGUGGCUCCUCAAGCACCCACAGACGAGAUAUCCCUGGAGCAUUUUAGUCGGCAGCGGGGAUGGGUAUCUUCGGAGAGAAGAGAAAUAUUUAGCGGUUCUCAAUGUGACUCCUGCCCAGGAUGCACCAUGUCUCCCCGGCACCGGCUCUGACGAUGAUGGCCACCCAGACGGUGCCCCCUCCUCCCUACCAAGACAGCCCACAGAUGACGGCCACAGCCCAGCAGCCCAGCAAGGCUCAGCCCGUGCACCUCUCCACCGCGCCGGCUCCCACCGCAGCCGUGCCCCCCGCAGCCGGCGACCCGCAGGCGCAGCUGGAGGCCGACAAGCGAGCUGUCUACAGGCACCCGCUGUUCCCGCUGCUUACGCUGCUCUUUGAGAAGUGUGAGCAGGCAACCCAGGGCUCCGAGUGCAUCACCUCAGCCAGCUUCGACGUCGACAUUGAGAACUUUGUCCACCAGCAGGAGCAGGAGCACAAACCUUUCUUCAGUGAUGACCCUGAGCUGGACAACCUGAUGGUGAAGGCAAUCCAGGUGCUGCGCAUCCACCUCCUGGAGCUGGAGAAGGUCAACGAAUUGUGCAAGGACUUUUGCAACCGCUACAUCACCUGCCUCAAAACCAAGAUGCACAGUGACAACCUACUCAGGAACGACCUGGGGGGCCCCUACUCCCCCAACCCUUCCUCCAUCAGCCUCCACCCUCAGGAGAUGCUGCAGAGCUCACCUGCGGCGCUCCCGGCCACCUCCAACCCCCCCCCGGGCAUCGUGGUGCCUGCAGCUGCGCUGCCCCCGGGCAACCUGGCCAUGGGCAGCGGGGCUGGAUCGCCCGCUGUGCCAGGUGGAGCCCUGUACCAGCCCGUGACGAUGGUGACAUCUCAGGGCCAGGUCCUUGCCCAAGCCAUCGCCCCUGGUGCCCUGCAGAUCCCCAAUGCCCAGGUGAACCUGGAUCUCACCUCACUCCUUGAUGGCGAGGACAAGAAGUCCAAGAACAAGCGGGGCGUUCUGCCCAAACACGCCACCAACAUCAUGCGUUCCUGGCUCUUCCAGCACCUCAUGCACCCCUAUCCCACGGAGGAUGAGAAGAGGCAAAUUGCUGCCCAAACCAACCUGACCCUCUUGCAAGUCAAUAACUGGUUCAUCAAUGCCCGCCGGCGCAUCCUGCAACCAAUGCUUGAUGCCAGCAACCCAGACCCAGCCCCUAAAGCCAAGAAAAUCAAAUCUCAGCACCGGCCCACCCAGCGGUUCUGGCCCAACUCCAUCGCUGCUGGUGUCCUUCAGCAGCAAGGUGGCAAUUCGGGGACAAAUCCUGAUGGCUCCCUUGCCAUGGACAAUCUGCAGCCCCUCUCAUCAGCCACGGCCACCAUGGCCAUGCAGCAGGCCAUGCUUGCAGCUCACGAGGACUCCCUAGAUGGCACCGAGGAGGACGACGAUGAGGAGGAUGAGGAUGAGAUGGAGGAGGAGGAAGAGGAGGAAGAGGAGCUGGAGGAAGAGCCCGGUGGCCUCCCAGCUGCGCCUGGCGCUAACCUUGGCUUGGACCACAGUGACUCACUGGAGUAGCUCACCUUGCGUGCUCCCCAAAUCAUGGAUGGCGCCAGAAGCGACCUCUCCCAGAAUGGCAAAAAACAGCAAGAAAACAACAAAUUGGUGAGGAAAAAAUCUAACUGUGGAGGCCCUGACAGAUGCCCCAUCUGCCUGUGGGUGCACCGGGGCCACCACAUCAGCACAUGGCAGUGAAGGACACGUGUUUACAAGGCACAUAUUGUGGCCGGAUUUUUUUGAGGUUUUCUUUCAGGUUUUAUCCUUGUUUUCUCCCUUUUCCCUUCAUUUUUGGUAAUGAAAGCAUUUAUAGGGGAGGCUGUUUUCCCCACCGUGCUCAGAUGCCACCAUAGGCUGUUGCAUCCUCUUGGAUUUCUUGGUGCAAAAAAACCUCAACAGAAACAGGAUUGAUGUAUUUUUGGGGGAAGCUUCCACAAAAAAAGGUCAUUCAUAUAAACAUCAGCAUGUGGGAAAAAAUUGUCGAGUUCCCAAUUCUGCUUCCUAUCAGAUUGGAGGAAAGUUUCAUGCUUUUGACCCACAGGAUUGCUCACAUCCCCCUGUUUUGGCCCCAGUGCUGUGGCCAUUUGGUGACUCUACGUGCGACUUUCAGGAAAAGGGAGAAAGUCCCCAAACUAUUUAAUUUAUGUGCUAAAAACCCAACAAAUCUGGAAAAAAUAUUCAGCCUUGAACUUCAGGACUGAGACUGGAUGCAGUGUUGGGCUGGAUGUGAGGCUGAGUAAGACCUUUCCAGAGUUUUUUUGGUACCAAAUAGGAAUAAAAUAGCAGCCUUUCUCCGAAAAUUGAAUAGUGAUUUGCCCAGGAGGAAGGAAAUUCAAAAAGAUGGUAUCUCCCCAGUGUCAUCCACCUGUGCAGGAAAACAUUGGGUUUCUCACCCCCAGGUGCCACAAGUGAGCUGUUAGGGGGCAGCUGUACAAAAACACUGUGUUUGGGGGUUUCAAGUGGUAGCAAAAAGGCAAAUUCUGCCUUGAACUGUGAGAAUAAAAGCAGCCCAGGUAACACAGGGCAUCUUCUCAGUUCCGUGGGGGUUAAAAAAAAAAAAAAAAAAAAAAAAAAAAGGAUUUUUUUCUGCCAGUUCUUCCCCAGCAGUGUGGGGUUUGUUCUUCUGUAAUAAGGAAGGAUUUUGCCGGCUGCAUGAAUUGCCAUUUUUGACCCUCUUUUGGCUCUUGAAGAGUUGAGAAGAAACAGCAGCCACAGCCAAACAGGCCGCAGCAACAAAGUGAUGCAAUGGGCCGCAAAGCCUGUUUUUCAAUACUGAUCUGGCGUGAAUGUAAUCUGUAAUUUCAUAAAGGAUUCAUUGUAAUUUAGUAUUAAUUCAUGUCAUUUAUUAUAAAGUGCUACGAGAUGAGGUUUUGCAGCUGUAUUUUAUUGUCAGCUUCUUUCCAGUGGAGGUGAGGGUGAUGAAGGACAAGUGGAGCACCAGAAUGGGUGAAUAACACCAAAAUGGGCAACCCAUAAAUAGGCAAAUUCUCCUAAAAUGAGUGAAUUGCUUCAAAUCCACAGAUGAGUGAUGCAACCCCAGAAGGAUUCGCCCUCUGUGAAGAACUCUGAAACUGGGUGAUUUACCACCAGUAUGAACUAUGCUUCCCCAAAAUGAGGGACUAUCCCCAAAUAUGAACUCUGCUCUCCAGAAAUGCAAUGUGCCUCCAAAUGAGUGACCCUCUCCAAAAUCAGUGGGAGCUGCCCUGACACCAAAAUAAGCACUGUGCCGCCGAAUGUUGCUUCCCAAAAAUGAGGAAUGCUCUCCAAAUAUUAUUAACAGUACCCAGAAUUGGUCUCUUCCCCCAAAAUGAGUGCCUUUUCCCCCAGAUGAGCACCCAAAAUAAGUGACACACCCCAAAGCAGCGUGAUUCUUCCCAAAAUGGAAUCCUUGCCUAUUAAGCACCCAGCAGCUUGUUACCCCAAAAUAUGCCUAUUUUGCAAAAUGCUGAAUAAUCAUGACCCACAAAAAGUACAUUUUUCUACCCCAAAGCUGCAAAACACAGCUUUUUUUACCCUGCGUAAUGCAGGAUGAGGUGGUUUUGGACCUGCUCCAUCCCCUGGUUAACCGGGGAUGCCUCAGUGGAGUGGAGGCUGGAAAUGUGACACCCAUCUUCCAAAAAGGCUGGAAAGAUGAUCGUGGUAGCUACAGACUUGUCAGUCUCAUCUCAGUGCCAGGGAAGGUUAUGGAAUGGAUAAUCUCAGGAGCCAUCACGGAUCAAUUAAAGGUCAGCCAGGGGAUCGAGUCCAGUCAGCGCGGGUUCGUGAAUGAUAGAUCCUGUUUGACAAACCUGAUUUCAUUCCACGACAAGGCAAAUUCUCCCCACUCCCUGCAACACCAUGUGAUCAGCAAAGGAAGCUGCAAAGCUGGAAAUGAAACAGCCCAUCUGCACCUCAAUCACAGCAACAGCUGAUGUGUGGAAUCAAACUCUGUAACUCAAGGACGUCUGCAAUUCAUCUAGUCAGUGAAAAAGCUCUGUAACAGAAAUGCUAAGUCACAGUCUGAACCAGUGAUUGAAGACCUGGUGGGAAGGCAGGGCCAGCCCCGAGCAGCUCAGGUACAUGCAAUGCACUGAGCGAUGGAAGGACUGGAACCAGGAUUAAACCCUUCCCUGACCUCAUUUAAGAGUUGGCAGCAGAGGAAAAAUGUAUCUUGCUGGAGAUCCUUGCCUACUUGAGGCCUUUCAAGGUAAGCUGCUUUUUUUUUUUCCCCCCCAUCUCUGUUUGUUUCAGGUUGCUGAAACAGCUGCUGCAUUUGGGCUUGUUCUCAUUUGCUGCAACCAAAGAAUUUGCCACCCCACUACUAUCACUGUACUUUCCAUUACAUUAUAGCAUUACAAGCUCCACAGAGCAGAUGAGUCUGUAGGUCAGAGCUCACCAAAAGAUCCCAAUUAGUUUAGAGAACAGAUCUUGGUCCUGAUGGCUUUGUUUUUAGCCAGUAUCUGCAAAACAUGUUACAGAGGACUGCACUUGCUUCAGAGACUAAAAGUUUUAAACAGGAAAAGGUUUAAAAAAAAAAAAACAACAAAAAAAAAAACA